UACGUAGGUGGCAAGCGUUGUCCGGAUUUACUGGGCGUAAAGAGCGCGCAGGCGGUCGUUCAAGUCGCGUGUGAAAGCCCCCGGCUCAACUGGGGAGGGUCACGCGAUACUGAUCGACUCGAAGGCAGGAGAGGGUAGUGGAAUUCCCGGUGUAGUGGUGAAAUGCGUAGAUAUCGGGAGGAACACCAGUGGCGAAGGCGACUACCUGGCCUGUUCGUGACGCUGAGGCGCGAAAGCUAGGGAGCAACAGGG
rnacentral:rRNA from 1 species